GGGGAUUUAGCUCAGUGGCGUAAGCGCCUGCCUUGUAAGCAGGUAAGCAGGCAGUUGUGAGUUCGAUCCCUG
rnacentral:tRNA from 1 species